rnacentral:rRNA from 1 species
AAAGCCGGUUUCGGCUGUCACUUAUAGAUGGACCCGCGCCGUAUUAGCUAGUUGGUAAGGUAACGGCUUACCAAGGCGACGAUACGUAGCCGACCUGAGAGGGUGAUCGGCCACACUGGAACUGAGACACGGUCCAGACUCCUACGGGAGGCAGCAGUAGGGAAUCUUCCGCAAUGGGCGAAAGCCUGACGGAGCAACGCCGCGUGAGUGAAGAAGGUUUUCGGAUCGUAAAACUCUGUUGUUAGGGAAGAACA